UCAUGGUAAAUGAUUAAAUUAGCUGACACAGUUUUAUCCUGAACCUUGCCAUUAAAACUGACAUUUUUGUGCCAAGCAGACUGUAGGCUGCUGGUAAUCUAAACUGCCUUUCUUCUUCUAAAGACUCUAAAUAGCUAAAGUACUCUUGUUCUUUACCCUAUUUGCAAAUGUGUGGAAAAUAUAUCUUCAUCAUAACAAGAUGAACUAAGCACGGGAGCAGAGGACUUAAUUUUUCCUCAUCUAUCAUACAAAUACCUUAAGAAAACAGCAAGGAAGCUUCAAAUGCCCAGAUUCAGCUCUGCAUCAUGCACUUUAAUCAAGUCGUUCAUGUGACUCUAUAGAGAUGAGAACAUGCUGUCCUCCUCACGGCUUGCUUGUUUACGCAAAGAGAGUUAUGAGAAUAAUUUUGGUAGAAAACAGUUUAUGACUGGUUGGAUGAAGCACUGCCAGAGCUGGUGUUUGCAGCCACUUUCCCUCAGCUGAGCUAGCUGGGAAGGAGCAACUCAUUCCAUUGUGAAGAUAUGCAGCCUCCAAAGCAAAGCACAGGCAAGGCCUGACUGCUCAGAGAUGUGAAGGAAUUGAAUCUUCUGAGCAUUGCACUGAGUGUCUUCCAGAGGUGGGUGGGAAGCAAAGCCACCAAAGAGGCACUGCAGGAAAGAGGAGAGGAGGCGGGAUAAGCAGACAGCACACCCCCACAAGAAGCUAAGGGUGAGCAUAAGGAAUGAGCUGUGGCUGAAGAAAAUUUCACAGGCAACAGGGUAAAAUUAUUCUGGUUGUUUGACUUGAUCGGGGUCAGAAAAGUUGAACUUUGCCCCUUUUAUUUAUUUAUUUGUUGCAAAAAAGUAGUAUGUCUCUCUGUAUUUAUCUCACUGCAUUUUCUCCUCAUAAAUAGAAUAACCUAGAAUAUCUUGAUUUUUUAGCUAACCAGAAAUUUCAAAAGAAAUAGCUAAAAAUGCAAAACCACAGAUAUUGGUCCAGAACAGUGGAGCAGCACAUCUAGCCUUCCACACAGAAGAGGCUUAUAUGUUUUUGGAAAUCAUGCAAUAUCAAAGGCUAUCAUUAUUAUAAAAUAAUCUAUCUGAACAGGGCACUUAAUUUACCACUCAUAGGCUUAAACAGUGGAAGUUCCAUGAAGAAGUCAUGUAUGCAUUACAUUUACCUCUUUAUGUGCAUUGGCACAAAGAUAAAAACACUGAUUAUACAAGUUGGAUUAUACAAUCUGUAUUUUAGCAUUUAGUAACCAAGGUCUUUGCUGAAACAGGUACUAAAAGUGUGGCAGACACCAAAGAAAUGUUUUUCAUUCCAGCAGAGAAUUUGAUCCUACAGUCUUCACACAGACUUAUCAGAAGCGUGUGCAUAACAGGAACGUUAUGGCAAUGUUUCUAGAUUCCUUGCUAGCCACAGCUGGGCAAGACUUUGGACUCCUUUUCACAUCUUGGAUCUUCUGGCAGUUUUAAUAAAGAAGAUGAAACACAGCUUUUUGCACAGCACCUUCCUCAGGAGAUAGAAAUUGCAGUUAUAUAACACUCACACAGUCACACCACUAUCAUCAAAAGGUGACUUUCAGUGAAAAGAGAUGGCUGUGAAGACAGCUUCUUUGAGAACUCGUGGAAAUGCUGAACAAUGAAACACAAUUUGAUUAUCAAAAAAUCAAACCAGUAUGAAAAUUUCGCCAACUGUGUUAUUCAGUUCAAACUUCUUAGCUCUCCUAUAUCAUUUCUUGGUUCUUACAUGUUGUGAAAGAGACAUAACUACUUUUACUUUAAAAUUUGAAAACCCUUCACAUCAGAGGUUAUAUGAAUCAUCUAGUCUUUUCUAUUCCAAAAUGUUUCACUGAUCAUUCAUUGUUAACUGAGUAAAACGAAGACAGCUAUGAUAGAUGAAAAUUUAUCUCAAAGUAUUAGAAAGGAUAUGAAAAUAUCUUGUUCAUAAGUACUAACAUUUAGAUAACAUAAGAGAGUCCAACCCCAGUUUUUUCACUGUCACAUUCCAUAUGGCUCUUAAUAACUCAUUAUUACCUUUUUUGCUGCUCCUAGGCACUGGUGGUUUCAACCUGGUCUGCCAUUGAGCAGAAAUGCAUUCCAACAGGAGAACAGUGAAAGGACUGGAUGUUGACAGACAGGAAGCCUGCUGAUAUUAGAGAUUAGGACCCAACUCAUGUCCAGAUUUUUUUUAGCAAUAUAUGUGCUCUAAAAGUUCUACUAAAAUUUAUUUUCUCCUCUUGAUGAGAACACUCAGAUUACAGAAGAAGAAACCUGUUGCCCUUUCUAGAUCUGAGAGUAAGGACUCCUGAGUAACAGAGUAACUUGUGCUUUGCGCACAAGGAUUUGUGUACAGAACUUGGAGGUACCAUAACAAAAUAGAAAUUUUCAAGCAGCUUGCCACAGAAAUGAGACAGAGCCUGGAGAGGAACCUUGCUGACAUAGAAAAGAUAAGAAUCUAGGCUACCUUAUUUCAUGAGUGAAAAUCCCGGAUACAUGUUACUCCUUGUUAUGUGUCCUUUCAUACAGAAAGAACAGAAGGACUGGAUUGAAGUUAGUAGGACUGCUUGAUAUGUACUGCACAACUGAAUAUAUUUCAAAUUUUCAUGAUAUUUUACUCGUUUGCCUCUUAAAAUGUUUCUUUUGUUUUGGUUGUUUCAUUGCUGCCCUCUUCACCUCAGGUUCUCCAGGGUGGCAGGUCAGCCUGUGGAUGAGGGAAGUAGACAGAGACAGAAGUUGUGUAAAGCUGGUCGUGGACUUAAUAAGGGCUUGAUUCCGUACCAACGAAAUCAACAGGAGUUUGGCUCAUGUUUGCAAUGGGAGGUGGAUCAACGCUUUAUGCCAGCUGUUCCCUGUUGGGUAGGGAUAAUCCCUUUGAAACAAAAUAUUUAACUUGUUCUCACUCUGUUGAUGUAAGAAGGCUUCUCGUGAUAAUGCUUUCAUGAGAAUUAAAAGGUGUGUCCCAUUUUUAAUGUCAAAUACCUCAUUCCUCUAGUAUACAUUUGCCAAUUCACCAAAAACAAACAAACAAACAAACGAAAAAAAAACAACAAAAACCCACCAACCCAAGAAAUGAGAAGUCUGCUAUUAGCCACAUGGGUUUAUAAAAAGUGCUACAGCAAUCUGAGGUGCAGGGUGUAUCCUCUAUUUGUUCUGCUUGCCAUGAUAAUACUUGCAAUUUCCUCAGCUGGAAGAUGCAGCAAGGAGCCAGGUUAGUUCAAACAUCUGCAACUGAGGUGGGACCCACGGGCAGAUAUAAAGCAGCCAAGGCCACUGUAGACAAAUAAGAUGACAGAAAAAUAAACUACUAACUGUCAUGAAGGGAGUCAUGAAGAACAAAAUGUGGGAACACUAUCAGACAGAGAAACAGGAGCUGAGGGAGGAUAGUAACUAUGAUAAAGUCAGAUGUGUGUCCCACAGUCUGGAUCCAAGUAUAGCAUUUAGUCUCAUUUACAACUGUAUUUUCUUUCUGUUUUACUGAGGAAACGAGCCUCUGAUGCUGCCCAGGUUGUGCUAUAGAUCAGCAGCACACUGUGGCUAUUUCUAGCUUCUGCAUAUAUUGGCGAAGUUCACAGGCAGUGUGGAAGUGGAGCAUAUUUAUCCCAGCCUUGGUUUGGUUCACUCCUCACCCCUCUGGCUGAGAUCCAUUUGGCUGGCAGACUUGGAACAUAAUGUCUGCUAAGUUUUACAAAGCAAUUAUUUAAUUUGAAAAGUCUCUUUGAUUGCAUUCUAAUAAGAUUUCCACAAAAUACGGAGUUCUCCACCUACUCUGGGGAACUUUUGUUUGCUCCAGAAACUACGACACUUUUCAAAAAGCAAUUUUUGAAAGACUUUGGGAGAAGAAGCUUCCAGAGACAGAGUUGUUUGGUCUGUCAUCUGGGAACUGAGAUUUCCACAGACUUACAUCCUCCAGAAGCAGAAAAUGUAUGGAAUUGUUUGAACUUAAGAAAUUAUGACACCUGUACAGAAUGAAAGGAGGAAUUGAGAGAGACAACAGCAAAGCCAGGAGCUGCAUCUUGCACUCUGUUCCAAAGAACAUUCUCCUUCAGAUUCCUAUGGCUCUCCCAGCCCUAAUAUUAAACAUUUGACCUUUUUGUCAAACACUAUUUUAAAUUAUUAGGCUGGCUGAUUAGUUACUAAAUAUACCAUAUGUAGUAAAUAGGGAAUUGUGUAGUCCGGUGCUACAGUCUCAGACCUUUCAGGUAUUGCUCCCUUGGCAUUUAGAGUCUAAACACUGAGUCCCUUUAUAUUACCUUAAGCCACUUGGUAAGCAAGGAGUUCAUGGCAUUUUCACACAGGGAUGUUCUACUUCCCUUACAGCACCCCCCCCAUCCCUAACUGAUAGCUCUAGUGAAAGUGCUGUAAACACUGAGAAACCAGCUCAUGCCAAACAACACAACUUAGACUACUGACUAUAAAUAAGUGCAUUUAUCUUUAAACUUCUGUAAACUGGUCCUUUUCAAUUGUCUCUGCCAUGAUCCUCUCUCCCACAUGAGCUCUUCCACUCAUCUUCCUUCCUCCCCAGCACAAAUCAGCACGCCCUGCACUGGAAGCAGACUGAUGUAUUUGCUUUUUCACCUCUACUUCCAUACCUCAGUUUGGGAAAUCCUGCUGUAAAACUAACCUCCCUCAUAUAUCCCACUUAAAAUAUUUAAAAACACAUGGCUACAAACAGUAUGACAGACACCAUGAACUACCAGGAAAUAUUUAUAGUAAUAUCAGAAAGUAAAAAAAAUUAAAAAAAAUAAAAAAAAAAUAAAAGAAAAUCAAACUUUUUCCUGGAUCUUAGAAUGGUUUUAAUAGAAAUAGAAAAAAAAAUAGUGCAGAAAUAGUCCUGUUUAGAGGAAAAGCUACCUGAAGAAGGAAAAAAAAAAAAAGAAGACCUUAUUAAUAAACACAGUGGAACAUACUUAGAAGAGCACCCCAUGUAAUCCAUGUAACUUAUUUUAUAGUAUAAAACUGAGGUGGGACAUAGCAGAGAAACUGUUGAUUUGGAUAACUGAUUUCUUGCUUCCAACAAAUAACAGAACUGCUUCAUUCUUCAGCAGAUUGGAACUACUUCUGAUCUCUGAAAUAUGAGACUGGUACAGCUCCAGACAUUUCAGGAGGAUCACCUGCUUUACACCACAGUGACAGUUGAAGCUGGCCUAUUAGAGUACCUGAUUUUAUUAAAUCUAAGUCCUUGCAUAGAAUUACUCUUUUUUUUUUUUAAUUAUUUUUAUUAUGAGAUGAUACUUUUUGCCCCAAGCAAAGCCUGAGGACUCACCCAUUUAUACGAGCAGAGGAUGGACAGACUGGAGCACAGGACUGGGCCUCAGAUAUGCAGAGCUGGAAUUGUAUUUUCUUUGAUUAUGCAUUAGUGUGAUGGAGGCAGCCUAUGCACAAACCAGAUAACACUACUCUUUCUUCCUGCAGGAAGUUUAAUUUCUUGCUAAUUAAAAUGGGUGUGUUUGAGUAUGACAAGAAUUAGGAAAAAAAAAACCACUUAGAAGUCCAGCACAUCUAAAAUCACACAACUAAAUUGUUAAUGAGCGAUGAAUCUUAGCUAGGAGAACCACCAUUCUCCUAUAGCUACUGUAUGCUUUUGUUCUUAACAAUAAUAAUAAAAUAUUACCGAGGCUGGAAAUAAUCCACUGCAGCUAAAGAAUGGCUGUUUAACAAACCACUAUUUACUAAAUAAACUACUGACACCUUGCUGUGAUCCACUAUCUGCCAAGCUGAGUUCCUCCUGUCUCCCUUUCUCCCAGAUGCCAUCCGUGUUCCUUACUUUACCUCUUGGCACGCAUCAGGGCAGUGACAAGAGACAAGGCAAAGCUUAGGGCAGUUCAUAAUCAUGGCUUACAACAACAACAACCUGCAAUAGUAGAAACGCAGCAGCUCAAAGUUUGCUCCCUAGGCAUCAUACAUAAAUUGCCAAUCCCUGACAGUCACAGAGCAAGAAGGUUUGGUGCAGGAUCUGCAAUCCUAUCUGCUAAGUGUUUUGGUACAGAAGUGCUGAAAGACCUGGACAUUCACUCCUUGAUUACAGGACAUCUUAAUGUUGGUACAAUCAGUUUCUGGCCUUGUUCAUCUCCUGUAUAAAUAGGUGCAGAAAUGGACAUGAAGAAGGAAAAGCAAUUAACAAGAAAAGACAAAAUAAAACAGUUAUGCCAUGCCUUAGAUCUAUUACAAUUCUUUUUACUGCUGUCACUCCAAUCCUUUUGUCUUAGUUUAGCUUUUAAGCUACUGACACAAAGAAGAUCCAAAAAAAGGUGAGAUUUUUUGGACCACAGUAGAUUCACUUACACCAUUUAAGAGCUGGGCUCAAGAAGUCCAGUCACUGUUUAUGCCUCUACUGGCCUUGGUCCAUUGGUUUUACUGAUUACUAAAUCUUUGUUGUUGAAGACAAAGAACUCUACAUGACUGCAGUGCUACCUUGACCCUUGGAAGCUCUUCCAGGACUACAAGAGUACAGAGCAAAACAAGAAAGUAAAAGCUACCUUGAUGUUAGCGCUAAAUACAGAGAGCUAUCUUUGUUGAAGGCCACUGUAAUGCUUUGGACUACACAUACAAAAAAGCCAGAGAUACACAAAACAGUUUCAAACACAUGAUGAAAUUUGCCAUCUUACCCACUUUGGUUCUGAAUCAGUAACUUUGUUAAACUGUGUGGUUUACCAGAGAAUUUCCAGAGAAUCAUCUGACCUGCAUAACUGCCACUAGCUGUACCCAUAAAGAGCCAUUUCUAAAACUGUAUUAAAUUGAUGAGCUUUUCCCAGAUAGGUGGAAGUUGGAUAAUGGAGCUUAAUCACAAAGUUCCUAGCAGGAAGUCUGCAGCACAGCUGCAAAGAGUAUGCCAAGGGUCCUGGCACCUAACUGCAGCAGGCCAGAUCACCAAAACUCCCCCAGCUGAAAGUCAUCUAAUUAGUGAGAUGUCAAUCACAAAGUAGGACGUAAAGUUAAUUUCAAGACUUAGUGGACACCAGCCAAUUAUCUGUAGAAAAUCAUGUGAUUCAUUCUCAGAAUUGGAAUUAAAAAAAUGCUGGAU